UCCAGGUGUUGCAUUGGCCUCCACAUUCUCCAUAUCUCAAUUCAAAUGAGCAUCUGUGGAAUGUGCAACAAAUCCAAUCCAUGGAGGCUUCCCCUCAAAAUUUGAAGGACUGAAAGGACCUGCUACUACAUGUUCCAAGGUCUUGUGGAGUCCAUGCCUCAACGCAUCAGAGAAGAUUUAGCAGAACGAGGGGGAUCUAUGCAGGUGAUGUUAAUGUUUUAGCUGAUCAGUGUAUUUGAGCAGCAC